AUUGAACGCUGGCGGCAUGCCUUACACAUGCAAGUCGAACGGUAACAGGUCUUCGGAUGCUGACGAGUGGCGAACGGGUGAGUAAUACAUCGGAACGUGCCUGGUAGUGGGGGAUAACUACUCGAAAGAGUGGCUAAUACCGCAUGAGAUCUACGGAUGAAAGCAGGGGAUCGCAAGACCUUGUGCUACUAGAGCGGCCGAUGGCAGAUUAGGUAGUUGGUGGGAUAAAGGCUUACCAAGCCGACGAUCUGUAGCUGGUCUGAGAGGACGAUCAGCCACACUGGGACUGAGACACGGCCCAGACUCCUACGGGAGGCAGCAGUGGGGAAUUUUGGACAAUGGGCGAAAGCCUGAUCCAGCAAUGCCGCGUGCAGGAUGAAGGCCUUCGGGUUGUAAACUGCUUUUGUACGGAACGAAAAGCCCUGGGUUAAUACCCUGGGGUCAUGACGGUACCGUAAGAAUAAGCACCGGCUAACUACGUGCCAGCAGCCGCAGUAAGAC
rnacentral:rRNA from 1 species